GUCGUUGUAGUAUAGUGGUGAGUAUCCCCGCUGUCACGCGGGAGACCCGGGUUCGAUCCCCGGCAACGCG
rnacentral:tRNA from 1 species